UACGUAGGGUGCGAGCGUUAAUCGGAAUUACUGGGCGUAAAGCGUGCGCAGGCGGUUUUGCAAGUCGGAUGUGAAAUCCCCGGGCUCAACCUGGGAAUGGCAUUCGGGACUGCAAGGCUGGAGUGCGGCAGAGGAGACUGGAAUUCCUGGUGUAGCAGUGAAAUGCGUAGAUAUCAGGAGGAAUACCGAUGGCGAAGGCAGGUCUCUGGGCUGACACUGACGCUCAUGCACGAAAGCGUGGGGAGCAAACAGG
rnacentral:rRNA from 1 species